rnacentral:tRNA from 1 species
GCGGGGGUCGCCAAGCCUGGUCAAAGGCGCAAGGCUUAGGACCUUGUCCCAUAGGGGUUCGUGGGUUCAAAUCCCACCCCCCGCACCA